GCUUGCUUCCGCCGACGACCGGCGCACGGGUGCGUAACGCGUAUACAAUCUACCUUAUACUGGGGUAUAGCCUUUAGAAAUGAAGAUUAACCCCCCAUAGUCUCUUAGAGUGGCAUCACUUUUAGAGUAAAGGUUACGGUAUAAGAUGAGUAUGCGUUCUAUUAGUUUGUUGGUGUGGUAACGGCACACCAAGACUACGAUAGAUAGGGGCCCUGAGAGGGGGAUCCCCCACACUGGUACUGAGACACGGACCAGACUCCUACGGGAGGCAGCAGUGAGGAAUAUUGGACAAUGGAGGCAACUCUGAUCCAGCCAUGCCGCGUGCAGGAUGACUGCCCUAUGGGUUGUAAACUGCUUUUAUACAGGAAGAAACACCUCUACGUGUAGAGGCUUGACGGUACUGUAAGAAUAAGGAUCGGCUAACUCCGUGCCAGCAGCCGCGGUAAUACGGAGGUUCCAAGCGUUAUCCGGAAUCAUUGGGUUUAAAGGGUCCGUAGGUGGAUAAUUAAGUCAGAGGUGAAAUCUUGCAGCUCAACUGUAAAAUUGCCUUUGAAACUGGUUAUCUUGAGUUAUUAUGAA
rnacentral:rRNA from 1 species